rnacentral:lncRNA from 1 species
AUGAUAUUUGUUUCUUGAACAGAUUGUAAGGCAUGAAGAAGGAAAAAAACCACUUGUUUUUAUAAGAAAAUCUGUUCCUUCUUCUAUAAUCCCAACUGUCCCAAGCUGAAUCACUAGGCAUUGGAUACACAGUGUGCUAUCGGAGGCUGAGUCAUCCCUGCUGCAAAUCGAAACUGUGGAUCUGAAAAGAAUUUUCUCAUCUAAACCAGAGCUUCAGUCUCCCAGAAAGCAAUGAAGAGAAAAGCUGAAGUCAGUGAUUAGGAGUGUCUGUGUAAGUAAAAGCAACAGGCAAUUACUGAGUGUGGUGUGAGAGGCACGGAAAGAUUGGGAAUUCAGCAAGAAGAGGAAUUGAAGUCAAACCUCACCUACUUCCCAGAGUCUUCUGGAUUUUCUGUUAGAAGCUUCAGUAUCUGAGGAAAGGACUCAGGCAACAAAUAAACAGCUAAGAUUUUACUAGAGUAUGAAAGGGAGAGCACUGGAGUGCAGUGCGGGGAUGGAGAUGCAGCUGUGGUGGCUGGAAGUACAGGAGGGCAGCUGGAGGCACCUGGCCUCUGAAGCCUGUCUUCUUCAUCUGGGUGAGAUCUGCUGGAGUCAGGAAGGACUUCCUGCUGCAAGGAUAAAGGUGAAGUGUGGUGGCGUAAUCAUGACUCACUGCAGCCUCGAACUCCGGGACUCAAGCUAAUCUCUUUCCUCAGCCUUCCCAGCAGCUGGGACUACAGAAUCCCACCCAUCCUAAGGCAUUACAUUUAGUCAUCAUAGCUCUUUCUUCACAGAAUUAGAAAAAACUACUUUAAAUUUCAUAUGGAACCAAAAAAGAGCCCAUAUAGCCAAGAAAAUCUUAAGCAAAAAGAACAAAGAUGGAGGCAUCAUGCUAACUGACUUCAAACUAUACUACAAGGCUACAGUAACCAAAACAGCAUGGUACUGGUGCCAAAACAGAUAUAUAGACCAAUGGAAUAGAACAGAGGCCUCAGAAAAACGUCACCCAUCUACAACCAUCUGAUCUUCAACAAAUCUGACAAAAACAAAUAAUGGGGAAGAAAUUCUGUAUUUAAUAAAUGAUCUUGGGAAAACUGGCUAGCCACAUGCAGAAAACUGAAGCUGGGCUCCUUCCUUACACCUUAUACAAAAAUUAACUCAAGAUGGAUUAAAGACUUAAACGUAAGACCUAAAACCAUAGAAACCCUAGAAGAAUACCUAGGCAAUACCAUUGAGGACACAGACAUGGGCAAAUGACUAAAGCAACAAAAGCCAAAAUUGACAAAUGGGAGCUAAUUAAACUAAAGAGCUUCUGAACAGCAAAAGAAACUAUCAUCAGAGUGAACAGGCAACCUACAGAAUGGGAGAAAAUUUUUGCAAUCUAUCCACCUGACAAAGGGCUAAUAUCCAGAAUCUACAAAUAACUUAAACAAAUUUACAAGAAAAAAAACAAACAACCCCAUCAAGAAGUGGGUGAAGGAUAUGAAAAGACACUUCUCAAAAGAAGACAUUUAUGUGGCCAACAAACAUGAAAAAAAGCUCAUCAUCACUGGGCAUUAGAGAAAUGCAAAUCAAAACCACAAUGAGAUACCAUCUCACGCCAGUUAGAAUGGCGAUCUUUAAAAAGUCAGGAAACAACAGAUGCUGGAGAGGAUGUGGAGAGAUAGGAAUGCUUUUACACUGUUGGUAGGAGUGUAAAUUAGUUCAGCAAUUGUGGAAGACUGUGUGGAGAUUCCUCAAGGAUCUAGAACCAGAAAUGCCAUUUGACCGAGCAAUCCCAUUACUGGCUAUAUACCCAAAGGAUUAUAAAUCAUUCUACUAUAGAGACACAUCCACCUGUAUGUUGAUUGCAGCACUGUUCACAAUAGCAAAGACUUGGAACCAAUGCAAAUGCCCAUCAAUGAUCGGCUGGAUAAAGAAAAUGUGGCACAUAUACACCGUGAAAUACUAUGUAGCCAUAAAAAAGGAUGAGUUCAUGUCCUUUGCAGGGAUAUGGAUGAAGCUGGAAACCAUCAUUCUCUGCAAACUAAUACAGGAACAGAAUGCCAAACACCACAUGUUCUCACUCAUAAGUGGGAGUUGAACAAUGAGAACACAUGAAUACCGGGAGGGAACAUCACACACCAGGGCCUGUCAGAGGGUCGGGGGCUAGGGAAGGGAUAGCAUUAGGAGAAAUACCUAAUGUAGAUUAUGGGUUGAUGGGUGCAGCAAACCACCAUGGCACAUGUAUAGCUAUGUAACAAACCUGCACGUUCUACACAUGUAUCCCAGAACUUAAAGCAUAAGUAAAAUAAAAAAAUAAUUAAAUGAGGAAGAAGAGUCAAAUUUUUGUGCAGAAAAAUUUGAAAGAAUUUAUGUAGAUACUACUUCCUCAAUGAGGAAGAGCAUAACUCUAUGCUCUUUAAGUCGGACAUGAACAUACUCAUUUCUUUCAAAAGAGUACAAUAUGAAAAGAGGGAAAAAGAAUAACUGUACAGUAAAGAAACCUGACAAUUGCUACCUUGGCCAAGUGACCCAGGUCAACAUCAACAGUGAUAGUGACGUUUAUGUCAUGUCCACUUGAAAUGAUGUGAUUAAAAAAAGGCACUUUACCUCUGUGUUCUUCUUCCUAUUCCCAUAAUUCCAGACUAAUUAUUUAAAAAUUUUCAUAUGUAUUCCAAUUAAAGAACAUUCUAAAAAAUACCCA